UACAGAGGUCUCAAGCGUUGUUCGGAUUCAUUGGGCGUAAAGGGUGUGUAGGUGGCGCCGUAAGUCGGGUGUGAAAUCUCGGGGCUUAACUCCGAAACUGCAUUCGAUACUGCGGUGCUUGAGGACUGGAGAGGAGACUGGAAUUCAUGGUGUAGCAGUGAAAUGCGUAGAGAUCAUGAGGAAGACCAGUGGCGAAGGCGGGUCUCUGGACAGUUCCUGACACUGAGACACGAAGGCUAGGGGAGCAAACGGG
rnacentral:rRNA from 1 species